AUGGAGCCGAGAAACGGUGGCUCAAAGUGGAUCGUCCUGGUCAUGUUGUGUCAUCCUUCAAUCAUCAGGACGUCGCACAGGGGCGCUCGAAGGCAAGAUGGGAAGGUCGGCUCGCCGGUGCAAGCGGCGUCUUACGGUCGCGCGAGGCGGAGACAGGGCUGCAACGGAUACAGGACCGGAGCUUCUCAACAGGCAAUGACGCGGGCCACCGCGAUGGAAGGAAUUCGACGACUCAAGGCGGCCACGGUGGCUGCUCGCGGCAGAGCCGGCUUGAAGGUUGCAGCAGAGGAUAACCUAAGGUCGCAGGAGUGA
rnacentral:rRNA from 1 species